CAUCAUACUCCCUCACUUGAAAGAAAACUCAUUCUUGAGUUGCAACAAUUAUGGUUGAAGGCGAUACAACCAAAGCUCUAAUUAUAACCUCAGUUGCUUUUCUCCUAAUUCUUCAUGAACUAUUUGUACUCCUCCUUUUGUAAGAACAUCAAUUUUCUUCCCAUGGACUUUCAUACUCAAAAUCACCAUCCUCAUCCUCGCCACCUGUUGCCCUUCAAAUUCAAGAAGAUUGUUUCUUUCGGCUAAUCUCAUGAACUCGGCAUCCAGUACUGCAUACGAAUCAGACCCUUUCCUCUCUCUCCGUUCUAGCUUGCAACCAUUCCCACCAAGUGAAUGCUCCUCCCUUUAACCAACAUGCUACUACGGUACUACCUUGACUCUUCUUUUUGAAGUUGUCUCCAUGCAAUGAAACCUCUCCACAUCAGCUAUCCAAUUCAAGAAUUCCUCAAUAUUUAAAUUCCAAUUGAUGUUGGGAAUGUUGACUUGAAUCGGAAUUCUUUGUUACUCCUCUCAUCAUAUCCAUGAACACUUUUUCUCCCAUAAUCACAUUAUUGCCGAUCUAUAGGAUAGUCAUGGGGUCAUGGAUGUCCUUCUCUUCCGAUCUUCAUCGUAGACUAUCGCCUACGAGCAGGAAUUGGUCAGCAAAUAGGGUCCCGAAGAGCUAUUUUAAGUUAUUAUUUUAUGUUAUAUGAAAAGAAUAUAAACGAUUAUUGAUGGGUAUGCUUUAGUUCCAAUCUUUUGUAAUCAGUAAGUCAAAUUAUAUGUUGUUUAAAACGCUCAAUGGAGGUUAGCGUUUGAAAGUUUGAUUUUUAGUUAUUUUGUUAUUCUCUUACUGAAUUCCUCUUACAAUAAUUCCUCUUCUU
rnacentral:misc_RNA from 1 species